CUCCAAAGUGCCAAGGAAAAAUCUUGCCUUUGUUUUCCCUCAACAUGAAUCCUCCCAAGGAGGGAAUUUCUGGUACAAAGAAAUGCAAACUGCGCGAGGGCGUGAGCAGAACAUCAAUGGUAGCCGGAAACUGGGAGAAGAUGUCAAACCGCUUGAGCCGCUAACCAUGUCAGGGCAAGAAGAGGGCAAGCCACCGACAGCCACAGCCUAGCCGAGAGGGUCAGGAGAGAAAAGAUCGAUGAGA